rnacentral:rRNA from 1 species
UUGGGCUGUUCGCCCAUUAAAGCGGUACGCGAGCUGGGUUCAGAACGUCGUGAGACAGUUCGGUCCCUAUCCGUCGUGGGCGUAGGAAAUUUGAGAGGAGCUGUCCUUAGUACGAGAGGACCGGGAUGGACAUACCUCUGGUGUACCAGUUGUCGUGCCAACGGCAUAGCUGGGUAGCUAUGUGUGGACGGGAUAAGUGCUGAAAGCAUCUAAGCAUGAAGCCCCCCUCAAGAUGAGAUUUCCCAACUUCGGUUAUAAGAUCCCUCAAAGAUGAUGAGGUUAAUAGGUUCGAGGUGGAAGCAUGGUGACAUGUGGAGCUGACGAAUACUAAUCGAUCGAAGACUUAAUCAA